AAGGCUCGGGUUGGGCUGGUAGCUGGACCCAGUUAACAGAACCUGCAAGCCAGGUGAACCAGCGGUCCUCCAGGCUCCAGGGAAGCUCUCCCAGCUUCUCUGAGGAAGCGAGGCCGCAUGUGGGGUCCCGCGGUUUGCGGGUCGUCGCCUUCUCAAGCUGCUGGAGACAGCGCACCAGCGGGCGCACCCUGCGUUCAGGAAGGAGGAGACCAGUGAAUCAAGGAGACUUGGUUUUCCAGGAUUUGCGCAGUUCUGUAAAACAAAACGAGCUUUCCAGCUUUAAAGUAAAUGAUGGUAAGUGGGAUGCGUCUCUGGUGUGGGCAAAGAAGUCCAGGCUUGGCCGAGUAGCAAGCCAGGCGAGUACGGUAGGGUCUUUUACUGUCUCGGUAAGGGAUGGGCGCGGGAACUGCUUCUUGUGUCUUUGGCUUAACACGUUGGAACCUGGAAGGAGAUGACCACUUGCCCUGGGAAGAGUGGCGCUCCGACGAGCUGCCCCUCUUGAGGUGCAGCAGCCGUGCAAGGCGCUUCCUCAUAUUUUUAAAUAACUACAGAAUUUCAAGGUUUGUCUUUAUCUUUCCCUCUGACACAAACCCUUCUCUUAUCUAUGGCUGAUUGGAUUCUCUGGUAAUUGCUUAUGCAUAUUUUAUUCCUCUGUUCCUUCUGUGACUUUUUUUUUAAGAAAAAAAAUCCAUCUGUAUUUUAAUCAAUAUGAUGUAGGGAAUAUCUUUCACGAUUUAUUUGUGUUCAAAUCAGGGCCAGGGCACUAUGAUGAAGACAGCCCACUGAAAAUCUGUUUAGAUUGAACUAAGCUCUGUUCAGACUGGAAUUAUAAUUUUUAAAUAGAUAUCUUAUGAUCUUGUGAUAAAGUAACCUUAGCGUGGGUCCCUUAUUUCUAUCUGGUUAAUUUAUGGAAUUCUUUAUUCUCAAAUUAUCAUACUGGGCAAGUUGACUUCUAAUUUUAAAUGGUAGGUCUCAAAAUGGCUGUAAAUUAUGCUGGCACGUGCUCUCUCUCCCUCUUCUCCCUCUCAUCUCUCCUCCCGUGUUCUCUCCUUUUCACACACACCCAUCUCCCCCCUCCCUCUCUUUUUUCUCCCUAGAUUAGCCUGGAACCCCGUAGGUAGCCCAAGAUGGUCUCAAAUGCGUGUCCAUUUUCUCCUUCUCUACCUUCCUAAGGCUGGGAUUAGCAGAACUCCCAUCUCUUUUAAUGAACUAUUCAGAAGGCCAUUUGGUUGAUGACCUGGGACUUAGUAUGUUUCUGUUGCUAAAGAAGUACUUUAUCGAACUAUUGUGGAAGGAGAUGCCUUAGGUGGCAGUGUCGAAGCCAAAAGCUUCCAGAAGUGGUUUUUGAAAAAUAAGAGUUGAAUGUAAAUGAGUAAGCAAACACAGGAAUCCGAAAAACCACAGCCCGUGACAGAUCAAGCCUAGUACAUUUUCAGCACUUCCGGAGAGUUGUUGCCCAGUCUGUUCAAUAUUCAUCUGGACUCCAUCAUGAAGGUGGCUCUACAAGGCUCCGUGGAGCUGUGCCGAAUGAAGCGUUAAUGUAAGAUUGUCAGGGACACUGGCAGAAGCGGGAUGAGAAGAAUGAAACGUAGAUAAGUCGUUAGAAAACUUUUGUAGGAACAGUGCCUCGUGUGAACAGAACAAAGCCGUUUUAUAAUCAGAUUUACCAAGCUGAGAAGAAGGAGUUUCAGCAAACGGAAGCUGCAGUGUUCUAUCACCAGGAAACUGUUUUCCAGAAUCGAACUGGCCAUGUGAAAACUCUUCCACUAUGAGCAACUAAAUUGAGGAGAGAAGAAUACUGUUGUCAAGAGGCAUGUGAUUUUUAUCAACAGCUUUAUUGAAGAAUGAUAAAGAAAGAACAACACGUACUUCAUGUGGGAAGUUUGAGUGUGGAUAUACGUAAACACCUAUGAUGCCAUAACCCAAUUCCCCAUAAUCAAGGAACGUGGUUUAUUUUUGUUCUUCUUUUGUCAUUGUCUCAAAAAUUUUAUGAAGGACUCUCCAGUCUCAAUAGAAUCUGAAUGUUUUUUCUGGUGUUCCAACAUCUUACCACAUCAUUAGUUCCCUGAAAGUGCACACUAGAAUUUACUGGACUGUCCACUAUUGCUGAUCAUUCCUUAUGAAAGCAGAAUAGCUGUGUGAUGGAAUGACAAGGAACUCAAGCAUGGCUUUCCAUGGUGAGAGGAAGAAGAGAAUUGAAAUUGCUCCUAAGAAACACAAGUUUUAUAAUGUGGUUUAUUUGCCUACUCAUUUGGUAAAUAAAUGUAAAUGUAUGAAUAUUUCUAGAAAGUAGCAAUUCAGGCUAAAAUUCUCAGUGGAGGAAUAGAAGUUUUAAAGGUGAAUUUGUAAGUAGUUAGUUAUAAACUAGAGAUUUUUAGUAGGAAAUCAUGUAUUUUACAUUAAUGUGACUUAAAUAAAAAACUAGAAAAGGUAAGUAAGUGAUGCAAAGAUCAAUGUCAAAUUAAUUAAUCACCAAUGAUGGUAAUACAAUGUAUUUUUGUCAUCUCAUGCUAAAUUCAAUGAAAAUAAAGCUAAUGACUUAGAAUUUUUAAAAGAUUGUACUGUCUGUUCUGCAUGCAUUUUGGUUUCCUACUUACCAGUUCAUUCCUUCUACUAUUUUGUGCCCAAGCCACUGGUCUUAUUUUAAAAAAAAAAGACC